ACUUUCUGAAACGUUAGGCCAUGGCGUUCUGUGUGUGUGUCGGUGAUUGCCUAUGUGGACUCAUGACUCUCCCAUUGCCAUGGCUUGCUCUUGCUGCAUUUGGCUUUCAGAUGUAAUGCUGUCUUCUCCUCUCUUCCCCACGAAAGAGCACUUGAUUUUGUUAUGAACGAACAGAAGUUCAAAAAUUCUUGUGUCCCCCUUGCCCAUCCCUGCUAAAAGUUACCUGGCGAAGAGCCAAUUGGCAAAUAUGAUGUAGCAAGCUAUUUACUCCUAUGGAAGUCUGAUUUGAAUUCUAGGUUUUCAGUAACAGAAGACACAUGAGAAAUUUGGACUGCCGACCUUGAAGCACUUUGGGCCUUUCUGCCUUCACUCGCCACCGUAUCGAGCCCAGACUUCACUUUAAUUAAAAGAGCUGUGCUGUGAAUCCCACAACUUCUGUUAAAUAAUUUGUAUUCCAUUAUAUAUAUUUUGCACAUCUCAGGGGACCAUAACGAGCAUCUGAGGGGGAGGGGUGCCAUCAAAUAGAACAAAUAGAAGAGGUGAAAAGGAACUAGCUGGGUAAAAAUAACAAAGUACUGCUUCUCUGAUGGUGUGAAGCUCAAGUUCAGGAAGCAUACAUUGAAAGUUAAUCUGGACUAACAAUGAUCUGAACACCAGCUGUUCCAAAAUCUCGCUUUUUCAUAACCCAACCAGCAUUUCUAAAAUGUAAAUUUAAAUUAUAUUGCAGUCACCAUGGGGAGAAGAAACCUGUUUAGUGGAAGCGGAAACAUUGUUCCUUUUUUUAGGUUGGCACAGCUUUGUAAAAUUCUACCCAGGAUAAACCACUUACCACCAAGUGUACUUGAAAGUAAAGUUUUUAGCUUAAAUUAUAGGCAUAUCGCUCACAAUACAAUAGGGAUCAUUUUUUGAAAGUCUUGCCAUUUAUAACGUGGGCAGUAUUCGGAGCUUGAUUUAAAAACCCAACAACCAGUAAUGACUUUGCGUAGUUCAUUUUGGGAUCUCACAGUGCUUCCAAAGCAUUCGGAUUCACAAACAGUUAACAAAGCAAGUCAUACUUGCAAUAUCCGUACUUGAAAAGAAUAAACAGAAGGAGUGACUUAAGAUUACCUAGAAGCACAGUGGCAGCUAUCUAUGACCUAUUUUCUAUCUGUUCGGUAGAUCACGAGAAAUCACUAAAUACAAUGCUAUUUUUCUGAUGUGUGCUAAUAAAGUCAAAGAAAACAAAUACAACUUUACACCUUUGUCCAUGUUCAUUCAAAAAUUUGGAAUUUUACACCUUAGCACACCUUACUGGUAUCCAUUUAUGAAGUGGGAGGUUAACAAAUCCACCCAAAUGCCAUUGUAGUAAGAGGCAGAUCUGGACAUACACCCUGUUUACGGUUUCCUAUUGGGUUUCUAUAAUUCCUGUGCUAAAAUACCGUCUUUCAGGAACAUGACUGCUCCUGGCAGUGGAAGGUGCUGAAACAGAAAUUUUAAUUAAAAACUUUAUCAAGUACUCUUCACAGUGCUCCUGAGCACAAUAGAAAUUCAGUAGAAUAUAUCGAGUCCUACUCUGGAGGAUCUAGAUUUCUGAGGGAGCUGAUCCAGUCCUACGUGUCUUCUCAAAUUAGGAGACAUAAGAUCCUUGGCAGGGAUCUUCUCCGCUGCACAGACCAGUCACAGAACCCACUAGCAGUGUGCAGUCAGACUUCAGUGGACCCACGCAGAAGGGACCACUUCUCCCCGCUGCCCCCAGGACUGUCCUGCCCAUUGUCAAGGUCAUCCAGUACUCUUCUGCUACUGAGUGACUCUCCUGCACAUGUUUAGGGCCUAGGGAAGCUAUAACAGGAAAAAUGCAUGCAAAAAGCAUGGAAAACCUUGUUUUGCUUUGGGUUAGUAAAAUACAGGCAGGAAAGAGAUAACUAUCGGUCUGAGCUUUGCCGAGUGAGAUAAAAGAAUCAGCUGUCACCCAUCCCUCUCCCAGAAGAUUUUAUAGUAUUAAGGAUACAUCCAACAUUUUCCCCAUAGAGUUUUAUUUAGGAGACAUUUCAUAAAUUACAUACGUGAAAAAAAUUCAUUAUUAGAUUUCCGUGUGUUUCAAACAGACAUUGGCACCUCGCUGAUCGAGUCAAUCUCUGCCUCUCCUGCAGCGACCCAGAAAGAGAUUCCCAGUGACGGCUCCCCUAACACACGUCUUUACCGUUGUUCUAUGACUUACAGGUGAUGAGCUACAAGAUUCAGAAUUCUGCAGUUACUUAUUCUGCAAGGCUCAAGGGGGACUAAACUUUCUUAUGAUUGUGUAUUACCAGUAACAGGGCUUUAAUUGCUAAUCGUUGGCUUUAAGUGUGAACACACGCACAGCCUGUGCCAACAAGAGCAAGAGGCGUUUCCAGGUGAGGCAGUGACGACUCUGGAAGGUUGGAAGUGUAAGAUGAGAGGUGUGGCUGAUCUUGGUACCCCCGUGCCCUUGCUCCCACCAAAAAGGUACCAAAUCUGAGACUUGAGAUCUCCUCCAACAUCAGUGCUCUGCAGUUCCAGGAAGUCAGUCAUGAAGUACACACUCAGCACCUCCCCUUCCUUCCCUGCCAGGUCCUCCGUCCCAUUCCCCCACCCAGGUACCGGCACACUUUCCACAUUGGAAGGGCAGGACACUGCAACCUUGUGCACACACGCUGGGUUAGGAAUAGGGCUGCCCUGGAGUCACCUUCAUGAAGUAUUGACGGCUACAGAUUAAAGUCCUUAGAGCAGUUGACAUAGAUACUACGUUCUAGAAGAGAAUUAAAUUUAAACGUCAAGUUUAAAGGGAUCAUAAUUCUGCAGGUAUCUUUCUCUGAGUGACUGAAUGUGACUAUUGCAUUAGGGUAAAUGAAUUAAGAAGUGCAAGUGGGGUUUACUGUAUGUUAGAAAGGAGUUUUGCAGCCAAGACUGCCUUGAAUAAAAUGUGUUUGCACUGAAAAAAAAAAUUUUAAAUUACUUGGUCUCUGGUUGCUGUAAAGGUCAUCCAAGAUGGAUGUUCUGUUUAUAUUGUAUAGUAUUUCAUAUGAAAUAAUUACAGUUCAUGAAAUGUCUUCCCUAAUGUUACUGAUUUAUAACAGCACAUUUGUAACAUGGUUUUUAUCGUGUCAGUGUACCAUAUUGUAAAUGAUGAUUACUUGUCAUGCUUAGUAUAAUAACUUAAAAGAAAAAAAAGGACAGGGAUUUUUGUAAGUCUAUAUUUGAAAGUCCCUCCAUAUGGUAAUAUUGUGUUCAUGUUGUUUAUGUAGUAUUGUGUGAAAUAUCCAUUUUGGAUUGUGUUACUUUUUAAGAUAUUAAAUAACAUUUGGUUA